AGAACUCAGGUCUGAAGGAGCUGCAGACUUACCUCAAUUUUUAAACAUCAUUCACCAAAUAAGAAAGCUGACGGAGCCCCUGGCUUGUAACUAAAAACAGAAAUGGGCCAGUGCUUUUCACUCCUGGUCUUCCAAGAGGCGACACACCAGACGACCACCAUGGGGUGCCAGAGCAAAGUGGCCAGGCAAGCAGCAGGGGAGGGCACCCCAGGCCUGGAAGGCUCAGACCAAGGUGUGGAGGACAGCACGGAACAGAACAGAAAGAACGAGAGAGAAACAGACAGCGGAAAGAUACAGGAGGAGGAGGAGA